rnacentral:rRNA from 1 species
GACGAACGCUGGCGGCGUGCUUAACACAUGCAAGUCGAACGGAAAGGCCCUGCUUUUGUGGGGUGCUCGAGUGGCGAACGGGUGAGUAACACGUGAGUAACCUGCCCUUGACUUUGGGAUAACUUCAGGAAACUGGGGCUAAUACCGGAUAGGAGCUCCUGCUGCAUGGUGGGGGUUGGAAAGUUUCGGCGGUUGGGGAUGGACUCGCGGCUUAUCAGCUUGUUGGUGGGGUAGUGGCUUACCAAGGCUUUGACGGGUAGCCGGCCUGAGAGGGUGACCGGCCACAUUGGGACUGGGAUACCGGCCAGACUCCUACGGGAGGCAGCAGUGGGGAAUAUUGCACAAUGGGCGGAAGCCUGAUGCAGCAACGCCGCGUGCGGGAUGACGGCCUUCGGGUUGUAAACCGCUUUCGCCUGUGACGAAGCGUGAGUGACGGUAAUGGGUAAAGAAGCACCGGCUAACUACGUG